GACGAACGCUGGCGGCAGGCCUAACACAUGCAAGUCGAACGCCCUAGCAAUAGGGAGUGGCAGACGGGUGAGUAACGCGUGGGAACGUACCCUUCGGUUCGGAAUAAGCCGGGGAAACCUGGUCUAAUACCGGAUACGUGCGAGAGCAGAAAGAUUUAUCGCCGAAGGAUCGGCCCGCGUCCGAUUAGCUAGUUGGUGAGGUAAUGGCUCACCAAGGCGACGAUCGGUAGCUGGUCUGAGAGGAUGAUCAGCCACACUGGGACUGAGACAUGGCCCAGACUCCUACGGGAGGCAGCAGUGGGGAAUAUUGGACAAUGGGCGAGAGCCUGAUCCAGCCAUGCCGCGUGAGUGAUGAAGGCCCUAGGGUUGUAAAGCUCUUUCGCCAGGGACGAUAAUGACGGUACCUGGAUAAGAAGCCCCGGCUAACUUCGUGCCAGCCGCCGCAGUAACAC
rnacentral:rRNA from 1 species